GAGUUUGAUCAUGGCUCAGAACGAACGCUGGCGGCAGGCCUAACACAUGCAAGUCGAACGAUCCUUCGGGAUAGUGGCAGACGGGUGAGUAACGCGUGGGAACCUUCCCUGUGGUACGGAAUAGCUCCGGGAAACUGGAAUUAAUACCGUAUACGCCCUUCGGGGGAAAGAUUUAUCGCCAUAGGAUGGGCCCGCGUCGGAUUAGCUUGUUGGUGAGGUAAUGGCUCACCAAGGCUCCGAUCCGUAGCUGGUCUUAGAGGAUGAUCAGCCACACUGGGACUGAGACACGGCCCAGACUCCUACGGGAGGCAGCAGUGGGGAAUAUUGGACAAUGGGCGAAAGCCUGAUCCAGCCAUGCCGCGUGAGUGACGAAGGCCUUAGGGUUGUAAAGCUCUUUUGGCGGGGACGAUAAUGACGGUACCCGCAGAAUAAGCCCCGGCUAACUUCGUGCCAGCAGCCGCGGUAAUACGAAGGGGGCUAGCGUUGUUCGGAAUCACUGGGCGUAAAGCGCACGUAGGCUGACUGGUCAGUUGGGGGUGAAAUCCCGGGGCUCAACCUCGGAACUGCCUUCAAUACUGCCAGUCUUGAGUCCGAGAGAGGUGAGUGGAA
rnacentral:rRNA from 1 species